AUGGUUGGGCUCGGGGGUGUGAUUGCUGGUGGCGUGGCGAAACACAUCGUGGGCAAGCUGGGCGAGUACGCGGCGUCGGAGAUCACUCUGCAGUGGGGGUACAGAGAGGACAUUCUGGACAUGGAGGACAAGAUGAAAGAUCUGGAGGCCGUGCUGCUCGACGCCGACGACAAGUCGCGCCGGGGAGGAGUACACGGGAGAGUAUACGAGCGGUGGCUUACCAAGUUCAAGCGCGUCGUGUACGACGUGGAGGACGUGCUUGAUGAGCUUGACGCCAAUGAGCUUAUGAACAAGACCCAAUCCGCGGUCAGCAUAUGGUUUUCCAGAAACAAUCAGUGCCUGCAGCGAAUAACCAUGCCCCACAAGAUGCAGAACGUGAUGAAGAAAAUAGAUGAGAUUGAAAAGGAGGGCAAAAUGAGACUCAAUGACGUGCCUCGAGCAGCAAGGGAACAAGGGAGCAAGAACAAUGAUACUUUUGCAGCAAACCGGAAUGGUGAUGGCACCAAAACCCGAAUGGCGGAAAGGGGUGUCAAGAAGGACAAGACAAUCAAUCAUGUGCCUCGAGCAGCAAAGGCACAAGGGAUCAGGAAAAAUGGUACUUCUGCAGCCAACUCGAAUGGUGAUGGUACCAAAACCCGAAUGGCCGAGAGGCGUGUCAAGAACGAGAAGACAGUCAAUCAUGUGCCUCGAGCAGCAAAGGCAGAAGGGAGCAGGAACAAUGAUACUUUUGCAGCCUACUCGAAUGGUGAUGACAUCAAGUCUGGAAUGGUGGGGAGGGGUGUCGAGAAGGACAAGAUAAUCAGCCUGCUACUCGCAAAUGAAGAAGCUAACCAUGUCACAAGUGAAGAAGCUGACUGGAAUAUCUCCAUCAUUCCAGUUGUUGGCCUUGGUGGCAUAGGCAAGACAACUUUAGUUGAAUCAGUUCUUUCUGACAAGAGGGCCAGCGUCUUUGACAUCUCAAUCUGGGUUCAUGUGUCCAAGGAAUUUGAUUUGCAAAAAAUUGAGAGGGACAUCCUGGAAAGCAUGAUGAAAAGCAAUAUAAAGCUUGACAGCCGCGAUUUGAAAAAAGAACUUGCUGCUAGAAGAUACUUGAUUGUUCUGGAUGAUCUCUGGGAAGAAGAUGGACAUAAUCUUGAAAGGUUGAAGGAGAUGUUGCAGGAUGGCCUCAAGGGUAGCAGGAUUAUAGUAACUACUCGAAAUCUGAGUGUGGUGCAAAAACUGCGCACCGGUUCUCCUGCAAAUAAAAAGAAAAUUUUCCUGGUUCCUGAGUCUCAGGAAAUCAACUUGGAUGUUUUGGAACCUGGUGACUGUUGGGAAUUAAUGAAGCAAAGGGCAUUUGGGCCUGAUGAUGACCACAAUGGCUUGGAAGAAAUUGGAAAGCAGAUUGCAGACAAGUGUGGGGGUUUACCGCUCGUGGCAAAUGCUCUUGGGCAAGUGAUGUCGGAGCUAAGGACUGUGGAUGCAUGGGAAGAUAUAAGAGACUCUAAGGUUAAUUUGGGUUUGAAAGAAAGACAUCAGAAAGGAACAUUAGAGAGGCUAAUGCUGAGCUAUUACUACAUGAAGAUAGAAUUCAAAAUGUGUUUCACGUACUUGGCAGCCUUCCCCAAGGGCUAUGUCAUGGAUAGCAAUCGUAUAAUCCAGCAAUGGAGUGCACUUGGAUACAUCAAUUGA
rnacentral:rRNA from 1 species